AUUGAACGCUGGCGGCAGGCCUAACACAUGCAAGUCGAGCGGAGCGGCGGACGGGUGAGUCAUGCAUAGGAAUCUGCCUGGUAGAGGGGGAUAAGGUCCGGAAACGGGCGCUAAUACCGCAUACUCUCGGAUGAGCCUAGGUCGGCUUAGCUAGUUGGUGGGGUAAAGGCCUACCAAGGCGACGAUCCGUAACUGGUCUGAGAGGAUGAGCAGUCACAAUGGAACUGAGACACGGUCCAGACUCCUACGGGAGGCAGCAGUGGGGAAUAUUGCACAAUGGGCGAAAGCCUGAUCCAGCCAUGCCGCGUGUGUGAAGAAGGUCUUCGGAUUGUAAAGCACUUUAAGUUGGGAGGCGUUACCAACAGAAUAAGCACCGGCUAACUUCGUGCCAGCAGCCGCGGUAAGUC
rnacentral:rRNA from 1 species